UGGGGAAUAUUGCACAAUGGGCGAAAGCCUGAUGCAGCGACGCCGCGUGAGGGAUGACGGCCUUCGGGUUGUAAACCUCUUUCAGCAGGGACGAAGCGCAAGUGACGGUACCUGCAGAAGAAGCACCGGCUAACUACGUGCCAGCAGCCGCGGUAAUACGUAGGGUGCAAGCGUUGUCCGGAAUUACUGGGCGUAAAGAGUUCGUAGGCGGUUUGUCGCGUCGUUUGUGAAAACCAGCAGCUCAACUGCUGGCUUGCAGGCGAUACGGGCAGACUUGAGUACUGCAGGGGAGACUGGAAUUCCUGGUGUAGCGGUGAAAUGCGCAGAUAUCAGGAGGAAAACCGGUGGCGAAGGCGGGUCUCUGGGCAGUAACUGACGCUGAGGAACGAAAGCGUGGGUAGCGAACAGG
rnacentral:rRNA from 1 species